GGAUGGACCUGCGGUGCAUUAGCUAGUUGGUAAGGUAACGGCUUACCAAGGCGAUGAUGCAUAGCCGAGUUGAGAGACUGAUCGGCCACAAUGGAACUGAGACACGGUCCAUACUCCUACGGGAGGCAGCAGUAGGGAAUCUUCCACAAUGGGCGCAAGCCUGAUGGAGCAACACCGCGUGAGUGAAGAAGGGUUUCGGCUCGUAAAGCUCUGUUGUUGGAGAAGAACGUGCGUGAGAGUAACUGUUCACGCAGUGACGGUAUCCAACCAGAAAGUCACGGCUAACUACGUGCCAGCAGCCGCGGUAAUACGUAGGUGGCAAGCGUUAUCCGGAUUUAUUGGGCGUAAAGCGAGCGCAGGCGGUUGCUUAGGUCUGAUGUGAAAGCCUUCGGCUUAACCGAAGAAGUGCAUCGGAAACCGGGCGACUUGAGUGCAGAAGAGGACAGUGGAACUCCAUGUGUAGCGGUGGAAUGCGUAGAUAUAUGGAAGAACACCAGUGGCGAAGGCGGCUGUCUGGUCUGCAACUGACGCUGAGGCUCGAAAGCAUGGGUAGCGAACAGGAUUAGAUACCCUGGUAGUCCAUGCCGUAAACGAUGAGUGCUAGGUGUUGGAGGGUUUCCGCCCUUCA
rnacentral:rRNA from 1 species